rnacentral:lncRNA from 1 species
GAUUUGCAAGCGUAGAACCUUAUUUAACAUUACCAUUAGUGUUUUUUAACCGAGAGAGGAAAAAAGAGGGAGAAAGAUUUGCAAGCCUAGAACCUUAUUUAACAUUACCAUUGUAGCUACGGUUUUGUCUUCUCCAACUGCAAACUGGAUUCGCCUCAGAAGUAGCUGCAGCAUCAUUUCUCUGCUUCCAUGUAAAACCCUAAACCCUAAGCUUCUUAGUUUUUCUUGUUUCGUUCUUGAAUUCCCUAAUUUCUGUUUGUUCUGGUCCUUUUUCAAAAAAAAAUUAGUUGAGCCAGUAUAUCAAUUUUCCAGUUCCUGGCAGUUCAUCCUUAAUCUAAUGAUCCAAGUAUUGCUUUUGGCUUAUAUUGAACUAGGUGGAUUUAUGUCUUCAUUUAUUCAGUAAAUUAUCUAUUUGUGUAAAUGUUUCAAAAUGCCUGUGUUGUAUAAUAUCAUGUCCUCUUGUGUAAUG